GUGGGGAAUCUUAGACAAUGGGCGCAAGCCUGAUCUAGCCAUGCCGCGUGAGUGAUGAAGGCCCUAGGGUUGUAAAGCUCUUUCAGCUGGGAAGAUAAUGACGGUACCAGCAGAAGAAGCCCCGGCUAACUCCGUGCCAGCAGCCGCGGUAAUACGGAGGGGGCUAGCGUUGUUCGGAAUUACUGGGCGUAAAGCGCGCGUAGGCGGACUGAAAAGUUGGGGGUGAAAUCCCGGGGCUCAACCUCGGAACUGCCUUCAAAACUAUCAGUCUGGAGUUCGAGAGAGGUGAGUGGAAUUCCGAGUGUAGAGGUGAAAUUCGUAGAUAUUCGGAGGAACACCAGUGGCGAAGGCGGCUCACUGGCUCGAUACUGACGCUGAGGUGCGAAAGCGUGGGGAGCAAACAGGAUUAGAAACCCUAGUAGUCC
rnacentral:rRNA from 1 species